rnacentral:rRNA from 1 species
AUUGAACGCUGGCGGCAGGCCUAACACAUGCAAGUCGAGCGAGCGGCGGACGGGUGAGUAAUGUAUGGGGACUGCCCGAUCGAGCGGGAUAACUACUGGAAACGGUGGCUAAUACCGCAUACUAUCGGAUAACCAUUAUGGGAUUAGCUAGUAGGUGGGGUAAAGGCUCACCGAGGCGACGAUGUCUAGCUGGUCUGAGAGGAUGAUACGCCACACUGGGAAUGAGACACGGCCCAGACGCCAAGGGAGGCAGCAGUAGGGAAUUUUGGACAAUGGACGCAAGGCUGAUGGAGCCAUGCCGCGUGAGGGAAGAAGGCCGUAGGGUUGUAAAGUACUUUCAGCGGGGAGGCGUUACCCGCAGAAGAAGCACCGGCUAACUCCGUGCCAGCAGCCGCGGUAAUUC